AAUUUGCGGCGUAAAUACCUAAGUUUAACUCCCAGUUGCAGAUAAAUACCUAACUUAUUUUUUUGGCGGUAAAAAUACCUUCUGUCAAUAUUUUGUUGCAAAUGGAGUACCUCACGUUAAAUUCUCUGUUAAAUGACAACUAGACACACACAUGACAUUAUUUAAUUGGUCCAAGUCAUUUAUUUUUAAUUUAUUAUAUAAAAAUUCAUUCAAAAAUUAUAAAAUCAUUUAAAUUAAAAAAAAUUAUUUAAAAUUCAUUUAAAAUAUAUAAAAAUUAAAUUAAUAUAAAAAAAAAAUCAGAGAAAUUGUUCAUAAACAAAUUGCAACAUCAUCUUCCCCAACUUUCAAACUAUCCAUAUAGACACAAACUCAAAUCUCUCCCCGUUUAUCCUCCUACUAUUCUAAAAGUAAUUAAAUAAUCAAAUAACAUAAAAAACAAAUCAAAAGCUCCUCUGGCGAGAUCUAAUAGAUUGGUGGUCGGGAACGAAGACCUCCCAUGGUGGUGAGCCAUCGACGUCGACAGAGCUACUUGUAGGAGGAGAAGUUGCAUCAUGCCGUCGCCAUGGUGUUUGGUUCAUUGCUAGUCGAAAUCUGCCAUUAACAGUGUGAGAUGGGGUUUUGGGUUUCAGGAUCUCUGAAAGACGACGGUAGUCGCUCCGAGGGUUAUCUGAAGGCAAGGACGCUCUCUUCGGUUUGGAUCGAGUGGGUUAUUUGGGCAAAUAAGUAAUAAAUUUCUCAGAUCUGAGUGAGUCUUUUUCUACUUUGAAUAAAAAGUUUAGGGAUUAUUUUAGAUGUGUUUGAUGGGUUUGUGAAGAGCAUGAUUCCUUAAAAAUGUCUGUAAUUUUUCUUAUUCAUGAAUCAGAUUUCUUUAUUCUUUUUUAUUUGCUAAGAUGAUGAAUGAGACGAUCAGAUUGAGAAGACAGAGGUGGUGUUGUGUUUUUUUUUUUUUUUUGUUAAUGCUUUUGUGAAGAAUUAAUUGUAAUAUUAAAGAGAGAUUUUUGCAAUAAUUAGUUAGAUUUAGAUUG